AUUGAACGCUGGCGGCAGGCCUAACACAUGCAAGUCGAGCGGAUGAAGGGAGCUUGCUCCUGGAUUCAGCGGCGGACGGGUGAGUAAUGCCUAGGAAUCUGCCUGGUAGUGGGGGAUAACGUCCGGAAACGGGCGCUAAUACCGCAUACGUCCCGAGGGAGAAAGUGGGGGAUCUUCGGACCUUACGCUAUCAGAUGAGCCUAGGUCGGAUUAGCUAGUUGGUGGGGUAAAGGCCUACCAAGGCGACGAUCCGUAACUGGUCUGAGAGGAUGAUCAGUCACACUGGAACUGAGACACGGUCCAGACUCCUACGGGAGGCAGCAGUGGGGAAUAUUGGACAAUGGGCGAAAGCCUGAUCCAGCCAUGCCGCGUGUGUGAAGAAGGUCUUCGGAUUGUAAAGCACUUUAAGUUGGGAGGAAGGGCAGUAAGUUAAUACCUUGCUGUUUUGACGUUACCAACAGAAUAAGCACCGGCUAACUUCGUG
rnacentral:rRNA from 1 species